AUGUCUUAAACCCCCAAUUCUACCCAAUGUGCACCCUCUAGUCCCAAAUCUAAGAUGGCAGUCUCUAAGACUGCCAACCAGUGGACUCCUUCUAGGUAAAGACCUUAGACGCCCUGUGCUGAUUCUACCCACCCCCAUAACUAUCCUGAGGACUAUGUACUCGACUUGUGCCAUUGGAACACAGCCUUUGGCCACUUUUCUCUAUGUAUGGAGCCUAAGAUCACACCAACAAUUCUACCCCUCCCUGUUGUAGAGCCCUAAACUCAAGUUUCCCCCUCUACACAUGCUUUCUCAUCCCACAGCUCAGCCCUCUCUAUAAAGAGAGGCUAGGCUCAAUCAGCCAACUCCAACCACCCCUGUGGCAUAGCUAAGAACUAUGUACUGCCUUUUGUCUUCCUGAAUCUGGCCACCACUAACUGUACCAAA
rnacentral:lncRNA from 1 species